UCCCAGGUGGCAACGGUAGAGCAGGCGGCUGUUAACCGCAAGGUUGCAGGUUCGAAUCCUGCUCGGGGAGCCG
rnacentral:tRNA from 2 species